rnacentral:rRNA from 1 species
AUUGAACGCUGGCGGCAGGCUUAACACAUGCAAGUCGAGCGGGGUGAUGGUGCUUGCACUAUCACUUAGCGGCGGACGGGUGAGUAAUGCUUAGGAAUCUGCCUAUUAGUGGGGGACAGCAUCUCGAAAGGGAUGCUAAUACCGCAUACGUCCUACGGGAGAAAGCAGGGGAUCACUUGUGACCUUGCGCUAAUAGAUGAGCCUAAGUCGGAUUAGCUAGUUGGUGGGGUAAAGGCCUACCAAGGCGACGAUCUGUAGCGGGUCUGAGAGGAUGAUCCGCCACACUGGGACUGAGACACGGCCCAGACUCCUACGGGAGGCAGCAGUGGGGAAUAUUGGACAAUGAGGGGAACCCUGAUCCAGCCAUGCCGCGUGUGUGAAGAAGGCCUUAUGGUUGUAAAGCACUUUAAGCGAGGAGGAGGCUCUUUUGGUUAAUACCCAAGAUGAGUGGACGUUACUCGCAGAAUAAGCACCGGCUAACUCUGUGCCAGCCGCCGCAGUAA